CACGUGGGUAACCUGCCCAAGAGACUGGGAUAACACCUGGAAACAGAUGCUAAUACCGGAUAACAACACUAGACGCAUGUCUAGAGUUUGAAAGAUGGUUCUGCUAUCACUCUUGGAUGGACCUGCGGUGCAUUAGCUAGUUGGUAAGGUAACGGCUUACCAAGGCAAUGAUGCAUAGCCGAGUUGAGAGACUGAUCGGCCACAUUGGGACUGAGACACGGCCCAAACUCCUACGGGAGGCAGCAGUAGGGAAUCUUCCACAAUGGACGGAAGUCUGAUGGAGCAACGCCGCGUGAGUGAAGAAGGGUUUCGGCUCGUAAAGCUCUGUUGGUAGUGAAGAAAGAUAGAGGUAGUAACUGGCCUUUAUUUGACGGUAAUUACUUAGAAAGUCACGGCUAACUACGUGCCAGCAGCCGCGGUAAUACGUAGGUGGCAAGCGUUGUCCGGAUUUAUUGGGCGUAAAGCGAGUGCAGGCGGUUCAAUAAGUCUGAUGUGAAAGCCUUCG
rnacentral:rRNA from 1 species